ACAGAGGGUGCAAGCGUUAAUCGGAUUUACUGGGCGUAAAGCGUGCGUAGGCGGUUCAGUAUGUCGGUCGUGAAAUCCCCGGGCUUAACCUGGGAACUGCGGCCGAAACUGCUGGGCUUGAGUGUGGUAGAGGAAGGUGGAAUUCCAGGUGUAGCGGUGGAAUGCGUAGAGAUCGGGAAGAACACCGGUGGCGAAGGCGGUCUGCUGGGCUGUUGCUGACGCUGAGGCGCGACAGCGUGGGGAGCAAACAGGA
rnacentral:rRNA from 1 species